rnacentral:rRNA from 1 species
AAAUCAAUAUGAUACUCCCCUAGUAGCGGCGAGCGAACGGGGACCAGCCGAGCCUUGAGUGUGAGAAGAACAUGUUGGGAAGCAUGGCCAUAGCGGGUGAUAGCCCCGUAUUCGAAGCAUGAUGGGACGUAUUAAGUAGGGCGGAACACGUGAAAUUCUGUCUGAAGAUCGGAGGACCACCUUCGAAGGCUAAGUACUCCUUACUGACCGAUAGUGAACCAGUACCGUGAGGGAAAGGUGAAAAGCACCCCGACGAGGGGAGUGAAACAGUACCUGAAACCGAACGCCUACAAUCAGUUGGAGGGCCCUUGCGGCCUGACAGCGUACCUUUUGUAUAAUGGGUCAUCGACUUGGUCUCACGAGCAAGCUUAAACCGUUAGGUGUAGGCGCAGCGAAAGCGAGUCUUAAUAGGGCGCAUGAGUUCGUGGGAUCAGACCCGAAACCGAGUGAUCUAGGCAUGGCCAGGUUGAAGGUGCAGUAACAUGCACUGGAGGACCGAACCCACAUCUGUUGAAAAAGAUCGGGAUGAGCUGUGCCUAGGGGUGAAAGGCCAAUCAAACUCGGAGAUAGCUGGUUCUCUGCGAAAUCUAUUUAGGUAGAGCGUCGUCCGAAUACCCCGGGGGGUAGAGCACUGGAUGGGUAAUGGGGACUCACCGUCUUACUGAUCCUAACCAAACUCCGAAUACCCGGGAGUACUAGACGGCAGACACACUGCGGAUGCUAACGUCCGUAGUGGAGAGGGAAACAACCCUGACCUCCAGCUAAGGCCCCUAAUUCAUGGCUAAGUGGGAAAGCAGGUGGGAUGUCCAAAACAACCAGGAAGUUGGCUUAGAAGCAGCCAUCUUUUAAAGAUAGCGUAACAGCUCACUGGUCUAAUUAAGACGUCCUGCGGCGAAGAUGUAACGGGGCUCAAGCCAUGAGCCGAAGCUGAGGAUGCACAUAGUGCAUGGUAGCAGAGCGUAGUGUGACAUAGA